AAAAGCGCCAUAUACUGUAAACUUAAAUUAUAAAUACACAUUGCCUAGGGUAAUUAUUUUUUCCACAGGGAGCAUCAUUCGGAAAUAACGUUAAUUAAAAAAACAAUAACAAAAAACGAAACUACUUAUGUUGACGUCAUCACACUGCGCCCAUCAGCGGGACUAUCGCGGCUUUUGAAACAAUUGGCCGUGCAGCUUUAUCGAACGAUCACUUUUACAGCUUUUUGUCGUCUUUACUCAGAAGUCUGACAUGAUCGAUAUGAUCGAGAAGGAGGACCCGGUUAUCACCGAGGAAGAGGCGGCCCAGUAUGACCGCCAGAUCCGACUUUGGGGUUUGGAUGCUCAGAAGAGACUGCGUGGGUCCCGGGUUCUCCUGGCAGGUUUAGGUGGCCUGGGGGCAGAAGUGGGCAAGAACUUAAUCUUGGCUGGAGUGAAAGGACUCACUUUGCUGGAUCAUGAGAAGGUGACUGAGGAGUCAUGUCGCGCUCAGUUUCUUGUCCCGGUGAGCGAGCGGGGCCGGAAUCGGGCUGAGGCGUCCCUGGAGCGCGCCCAGAACCUCAACCCUAUGGUGGAGGUGCUCGCUGACACGGACAAAAUAGAAGACAAACCUGACACUUUCUUCCUGCAGUUUAAUGCGGUUUGUCUGACGGGCUGCUCCAGAGAUGUGAUGGUGCGUGUGGACCAGCUUUGCUCGCAGCAUGACAUCCUGGUCUUCUGCGGCGAUGUCCACGGUUACUAUGGUUACAUGUUUUGCAACCUCGGACCCGAGCACAACUACGUGGAGGAAAAACCCAAAGUGGUGAAGAAGUCCUCGGGGGACUCCAACGAUGGUCCCGACGCCAAGAAGGUCAAAGUGGACCCCAACGAGACCACCAUGGUGAAAAAGACAUCUAGGUUCUGCAGGCUGAAGGAGGCCCUGGAGGUGGACUGGAGCAGCGACAAGGCCAAAGCCGCCCUCAAGCGGACGCCUGUCGACUACUUCAUGCUUCACGUGCUGCUUAAGUUCCGAACGGACAAGGGCAGAGACCCAGACCCACAAUGCUUUGCAGAGGACAGCCAGCUGCUGAGUCAGAUCCGCCAAGACGUCCUGGAGACACUGGCGGUGAGUGGCGACCUGCUCAACGACGACUUUAUCAGUUUCUGCUUCUCAGAGAUGUCGCCGGUGUGCGCCGUGGUGGGCGGUGUGCUCGGACAGGAAAUUGUUAAGGCUCUGUCCCAGAGAGACGCUCCACAUCGCAACUUCUUUUUCUUUGACGGCCGCAAAGGAAAUGGCAUGGUGGACUAUUUUGGACCAAACUGAGUGCGUGCUGAUGGAGCUUGCUCUACCAUCCAUCUUGCAUAGCAUUUGUUUAUUUACGGUUGGUUUGGUCCCAGCGACAGUGACUCACUUGCGUCGGCUGAAGAUGCUCUUCUUGCCUGAGUUCUUGUCAGCGGCGCUGAGGCCGAUGAGCAGCCGAGCCUUUUCGUCCUCCUCCUGCUGCUGUAGGCCCGAGUCCG